UGACCUAUCGCCCACUUCCGAGCCCGGCCACUUCCCUGGAAAUCGGCUGAGUCGCGGCACCGACUCACCUCUAAGGAGGGAAUUGAGGGGCAGCCCAGGGCUGAACAGUUCUCCCUCUAGUAGAAGAGAAGCAUUGGGAGAGAAAGGACCUUGUCUGCUUAUUCAUCGCUGUAUUUCCAGCCCCUCAAAGAAGCAGCUGGCACCUUAGGAGGCAUGCUCAAAUCAGUGCCUGCUGUGUUGCUGGGAGUAAGCUCCGUGCUGGAUAUAACCCUUGCAAAGUCAAGGACAGAGCUCAGUUUGGCUCAAAUCUUGAUUUCAUCAUUGGAGAGCGACUGGGUCUGGACACAAUGAGAAAGGAGUGAAGAGCAGUUGCUGUGAGAAGAUUUUGGUUUAAAAAAUAAAGGUCAGGACUAUGCUCGUGUUCUGCGGAUGUGCUCAGUUCUGCUCUAAAUCGUCUGCAUCAACUAAUGUUAAAUAGAAUGUAUGAAGGAGUUAAAUGGGGCCUAUGAGGAGUGAAUGUUGCUGCUACAAAAUAUGGAGAUGGAAGCAGGGGUGAAAUAUAUUGCCAUCUAGGCAAAAUGAGCAAUCUGUUUGGAAGGAAUCAGUCUCUAGGGGUUAUACAUAACUACAAUUACUUUGCUAAGGAACGAAUGUUUUAUAUUUUGUGGCAACUUUGGGGGGAUACCACAUUUUUCUACAUGUGCCUGUUUUGGUUCCAUUUUCCACCUAAAAUUACACAUGUGAGGACAAUAAGUGAUUCUGUAAAGAAAGAGUGAGAUCAUCUUUAUCUCAAAGACCUUGGCUGAAGGUCAUGGUUAAUGACCAGACUUCUAACUUUGCCACUGACGUCCUGGCAGAAUUGUUUCUGAAACUUGGGCGAUGAGAUGACACUUUUUUAAGUUUUUUUAUACGCUUCAAAGAUCAACACAAUGCAGCCAUCUUAUAUGUAAACCAACUGUUGUAGUAUAUGCUUAGGCCUCGUUGACAUGGUUUUAAGAAAAGCAUUUCCCAUCCUCUGAAUCUAAAGCUUAAGCCAUCUUUAAGCAGAGACACCUUUCCUCUUCUGUUGAACCACUCCUGGUGUCAUCAAGCACAGUACAAGAACAGUACAAGGCAUGAAGAGGGAACUCAGUAAUGACAAGUGAGUAGAAAAAUUAAUUGAGGGACGCCUGGGUGGCUCAGUUGGUUAAGCAGCUGCCUUCGGCUCAGGUUAUGAU